rnacentral:SRP_RNA from 1 species
GCUGGGCAUGGUGGCACGUGCCUAUAGUCCCAGCUACUUGGGAGGCUGAGGCAGGAGGACUGCUUGAGCUCAGGAGUUCUGGGCUGUAGUGCACUAUAAUUGGUGUCACACUAAGUUCAGCAUCAAUAUGGUGACCUUCCCGGAGGGGGGCGGCACUGCCAGAUUGCCUAAGGAGGGGUGAAACAGCCCAGGGCAGAAACAGAACAGGUCAAAACUCCCGUGCUGAUCAGUAGUGGGAUCGUGCCUGUGAAUAGCCACUGCACUCCAGCCUGGGCAACAUAGCUUUUUU